rnacentral:lncRNA from 1 species
CCGGGUAGAGAACUAUCGCCUUUGAGGUCCUUUGAAACUCCCCAAGGACCGGUAGCAUCAGUUACAAGUGUAUUAAAAACAAUGCUUUCCUCCUGCAAGGUGCAGGAGCAUCUUUAUUGGAAACUAAUUUCAGCCUAAAAAAGCACCAGGGAGCAGGAGGCUAUCCUGCUGGAGCGAUAACAAACACUGAAUGACCUUGAAAAGGAAAUAGACUUGGCUCUCCAAAGCGCCCAAAGGGAGGGGCAGGGACGAGGUCUGUUUUUUGCUUGUUUUUGAUUCUUUUGUUUGGUCUCCAUCCUCCUCCUUUUCCCUUUAGGAGUAAAUAUUAUCAGUGGAGAAGGGAUGUAUUGAGAGUAAAGUGCGUACAGUAAGUCAGUGGGAAGUAUGCUUUUGUCUUCAUUCCCAGGGAAGCACUAGGAGGGAGAGAAGAAAGGAGGGGAGGGUGAGGGAGGCUGGGAGGGAAGGUGGCACAGGAGAAGCGCGCGUGCGGAUGGAGUCCCGGGGUGCCUGAGGUCUCUCCCCAUUGUGGAAAGUGUGCAUCUCUCCUGAUCCUAAAACUUCUCCGUGCCCGUUGUUUCUUUCAGAGCCCCUUCCGUGUGUCCUUUAAUAUUCUCUAUAACCCUGGCAUUAGCGGAGCAGGCAAGGAAAGCUGGGGAGUCAAAUCGCUUCCUCCGAGUCGAACACACGUUUGAUGUGCUCUGGGACAGUCCUCUUUUCUCCAGACUGGAGCCUUACAGGCCAGGGCUUUAACGGACCACGUCCCACUUGCGACUGGGAAGCGCUCUUCUCCGCUCUGUAUGACCUCUUCGUGCCACAGCUGUAACUGUCACCCUGGCACACACGUCACGUCACGGAGGUGGCACUCGGUGCUGGUGGGUCUGAGUGGGAGAGUCCGACCGCCUGCUCCCCUCUCUGGUUCUGCGUGGUGUCUGCACCGACCUCAGGGGAGGAAGGGGGAUUCGAGGGAGGAGGUGAGGAGAGGCAGCCAGAAGCAGCUGGGGCGGAGGAGGAAGAACAGACCGAGUGGCGCCUGUCUCCUCACGCCUGCCCCAGUGGAAGGUGUGUUUUGGGGUCAUAGUUUUAAUUCCAUAAAGCAACCCCAACGUCUGGCUUCACCGUGCGGACCAUCCUGUCCUAGUAUCUUCUCUUGCAGCGCCGUCUAUCACUCUUCUUUAAUUGUUCUGUUCCUUUGCCUAUUGAAGAAGCAAUAUGAAAUCUACCCUGAAGAACAUUUUGAAAAAAAAUUAAACUCUAGCACAAUUAUUCUCAUUUAUAUAUAAAUACAUCCCACUAGAAGCUGCUUCAGCCGGCCUCGUCAUGGUCUACAACGAUCAGGUGCUCGAGCAAGAGUUUAGCGGAAAGUGAAGCAGGAGACCCGAGGGGCAUGGCAGGACAUGUGAGUUGAAAUGGUCCUUAUGAUUCUGAUACUCCUCCCUCGGCUAAGAACCAGGGCACAACGGGUGAAUGGCUCUCAAACCUUUGUAAAUGGCAACCCAGAGUCAAAACAGACAAAUGGACAAGAAUUCACAUUGCUGUGUUCUAACGAAGGGACAAGUGUGUGUCUACAAACAACCAAGAGACAGGGGUCAGCCUCUGUGGUGUGGGCCGUGGUUUCUAACCGUGGCAGAGGCCACAACCGUCUGACUCCAGGCCUGUGGGGUAGUGUGAGCUGUUCGUAGGGUUGCCCUUGCCAGAUCGCAAGGCCAGUGUCCCAGCUGAGGGACUGAGUCUGGUCCAGUCUGUUUCCUGAGGCACUCAGACCUGCUUGUUCUCAUGAGAUCAGAGGCUUGCCUAGAAUCAGGAUGGCCUCCCCUUUUCCAGGAUUGCAGUCCAGUUCUUCCAGAAAGCAGUCACAUCCUCCUCAAAGUGCUGGAAAAAGGUUAACAUACCAAGCCAUGCCCACUCUUGCUUCUAACCCUGACUGCAUAAUAAGUAUGAUCACCUCCCUCUUAAGUGGCCAGCAGAGGUGUUCUGACGCCAGGCCAGUGCUUCGGAGGGCCAGAGUUGCUUGCCUUGGGGGAGCAAACCCACGUUUUUCUUCUCACGGAUCUGGCCAUUUAGUUGUAUUAUCCUUGCCUGGCUGGGGUUGCUACCAUUACUCACUUACUGUGAAUCACUGGGUGAUGAAACAGCAAAACAUCCUGAAACCACGUAGGUUUGGUCCUGCACCUCUCUGUCUCCACUGCGCAGCAGCAGUCCUAGCUUGUUGUGAAAGCCGGUGUAGACUACCUCCGCCAGAACAAUAAUCCCUUUCUCUGCCUGCCAGCUCACCACCAGCAUAUGGAACCCAGAAUGAUCAAAAUAAUUAGAAGUUUCCAUUUCAAUGGACCCUUCCUGGGACUCCAAGCAGAAGGAACAUUCCCGGGAACCAAAAUCUCUAAGCAAACAGUACCUAAGCUUUAUGGGCAAGAAACACAAAAAGCGGGACAAAAAUGAUGACAUGGAGCCAAUCCUAUUUCAGUUUCUUGGUUCUUACAUGUUUUAGUGUUCAGUGUAUAUUGGUCACUAGAAACAUGCGUAAACCAAAUCCUGAAGGCCCGCACGCUCUCUGGCAGCAUGGUGCCCCUGAACCAGGGUCUUAGCUGGGACUUUACUAGGCCGUCCCACCAUUCUGUCAUCGCGGCGCCUUCUGGACGAUGGACCGUGGGUAGGGCAGGGGAUUCCAUGGUCUCUUAUCCCUGAGCCCACUAAUCUCUUGGUCCAAGCGAUUGUUGUGAGAUACGAUGUCGAGUGAUCAGGUUUUGCACAGGCUUUCGGAUGGCAGCUGUGGGGAAGGCGCUGUGGACAGGAGAGGCAGACUCAUCUCUGAGCGUCACUGAUUCCAGCGAAGACAAGUCUCUCCCUUUGCUAGUGCAGGAGCUCUUACACAGUUGACCUGACAGGUGGUUGGCCUGUGUCCCCAGGGAGUGAUGCCAUAUGGGACUUAGCAGUGGUCUCUGUGAUGGAGGGUUGGAUUUUCAGUAACAUUCAAUAAUAACAACUGAACAUACUUCCAGCCAGUUCUCCCUCCAUAUAAAAUGGCAAUUAAAUGCAGUUCUCACAACUCUGAUGAACGGGAAAACGGGAGAAUUUCCUUUCCCUUGGCCUUUGGGCCGCCUCUCUGUGAAGUUUUAAUGAAACCGUCGUCCAUUUCCAGCUCGAGCAGACACAGGGUGCCUAAUCGUGAACCAGGCUCUCAUCUGUCGCAGAAACAUUGGAUGAAAACACAGGUAUCAGCUGCGGAAGAGGUACGACAACAGCAGAGGUAGGAGAAGUGUGACUGUGGCCUUGCACCUGAUUACACAAAUUGCUUAUGACGUCUGGAAGUGCCUAGGUUCAAUCCUGAGUUAUUAGUUCCACUGUGUAAAGGAUUUCUGCUAUGACUGGGUGAAUCUGGUAACAUCCAGUCAUGAUGGGCAGCUGUUUUUUCAUAAUUUUGGCGAUUCCAUUUCCAGGUGCUUAAGUUCUAUUUAAAUCCAUCAGCAAGGCGCAAACUGUUUACGAAAUGGAGAAUUUUCUGCCACGGCAGGCUGUGCCUUCCUCUAGAACUCUUUUCGUCUGUACUGCAGUUUUCCUCUUGAACUUGCUAGAGAUUUCAGCUUACUUCCUAUUUAUUACGGAUUCCACCAGCUUGCUGUCUGUGCUAGAUCCCAUGGUCUGAACGACAAGGAAGCUUGCCACAAAGCUUGCCCAAAAUGAAAAGCCCUCUUUUGCUCUGGGCCUCAUUUGAAACUGGGUGCCUUUCAAGUGAUGCAGUAAAAGAAUGUGAUCCGUUUCCCCGGGUGUGACAUACGCUGCCAUUAAAAGUCCAAGAAGCCCACUGAGCCCUGGUGUGUGUUUAUUAGGGUAAUGCUGAUCAAGAGCUUAGUAUUAGGGGGCCUGGUCCUGUGGUGUCAUCCCUGUCAGCUCCAGCCUGAAGAAGCAAAGCUACCAUAGAUGUCCUCAGUCCUUCCCAGUGUGCCUGACCGAUGGCUCACUGCUCUGGAUAGUUUUUUGUUUGAUUUUUACACGACACUUGAUGUCAUCAAAAGCAGUAGGCCCCCCGCCCCAUUCCUUAUAAUAAUUAUUUCCCCUAAACUGAACUCAGGUAAUCUGACCCCAGAGGAGGGUUCUUAACUUCUUUCCCAGUUAACAUAAUCACUUUAGGACUAACAUAAUCUUAAAGUAAUCGCUAAUCUGCUAAUCGCUGAAGGAUCACUUUAGGAAUUGAUGGGUUUUGUAGAUAAGAAGGAAGGGGGGGAACAGCCUGGUUUGGAGGCAUCCUAAUGUUACUAGUGCAACUAAUGCAACUCUGAGAAGAAAAACAUAAUAUGUUCAUUUUUGUUUUUAAAUAAAACAUGUUAAAAUUACUUAAAAAUUGUCCCACCCUAAUCCCCUCCAUUUAUCUUGCAGAGCUGGAGUAAUGUUAUUUUCCUAGCACUAUUGUCUGCAUAGUCAGGCUGUACAAGAAAGAUAUAGGGUGAGAUUUGUUCAUUCGUUACUAAAUUUUACUAACUUUAUUUUGCUGCAGAGUGGAAAUUUCAAAUAAAAUUAUCUAAUUUCAAAAUCUGAUUUUUUCAUGAAGUCUAUUUCUUCCAAUGGUAUUUGGUGACUUAAAAUAUGAAAGAAAUAGGCUUUAAGGAUCUCGAAAGUUUUAAAUAGGUCACUGAAUGGAAAUGUCAGCAUGAGGCUAUUUUUUUGUCGGCUGAUGAGGUGUUCAGUAAUAGAUCAUCCUUAUUAGUGAUUUUCUUUGCAGAUUGUUUUCUGUGAAAUAAGACCCCCUCUGAGUGCCCCAAAACAGCCUGUAAUGGCUGCUAAUCACCCAAGUGUCAGCGCUUAUAGCGUCGAUAUAUCUUCCUCACACUGCAUCAGAAGACAGUAACAGUUUCAAGAAAUAGUGCUUAGAACCGCCGUCAAAUACGUUCUCAGUCCCAUCUCACUAAAUGCACAUUUCUGUUUAUGACAGGGGAGGGCGGUUGUCCUUAGUUGUGAAGAAAUUCUCAUUCAAAUCUGACUUUCAGCUUUUC